rnacentral:lncRNA from 1 species
UGAAAAGCCAUUUUGUCUCUUCUUUAGGGUUCUUCUACUCUUUCUCACACUCUCAGGCAGUCAGCUCCUAGGUGUGCCUGUCUCUACAUCUACAGCUCUGGUUAUUAACCUGUGUCCCAUAGGCAGAGAGAAGAGAAUUCACCCAAACACUUUGAAGUAUCUGUUGGCUGACCCAGUCCUGGGGAGGGCUGAGCAAAUGUGGUGGAGAAGAGCAGAAGAGUGGCCUGAAGCCUCACUUGGGCAUCCUGGGACACCCGGUGGCAAGCAGAAAGGGAAUUCUGGAGCCCGUGGCACGUAGUGUGAGGUCUAAGCAGAUCCACUGCAGGCACCACCUCUUCCGCUGCUGGAGGCUGCCUGCCCUCUCCAACUGUCCUCACCUACCUGUGUCACUGGCCACCACUGACCCUCUGGUGGGGAGGCAGCUCACUCCCUGGACUCUGGACAGUUGCCAAGGAGGUGUGAAGGGGAAGGCAGAAGGAGGACUUCCUGUGGAGGGCGUAGGGAGCCGAGCUGUCGCUUCCGGAGCUGACAUUGCACAUCUCGCCCAUGCACGCGACACUGCUGCAGACGAGGCCUCAUGCCGUCCCGGUUUUCCAGAGGCAAACGAGUCACAGAGAGCUCCCGCCCCUUGCCCCCGCCUGCCCUGGCGCCCACCUGUGCUGCUGCCCUACUGCCUUCCAUCCGGGAGGAUAAAGCCGGCCAGGGCAGUUUGGAAUCCACAUCCAAGCCAAAUGACCCUUCCCCACCACCGCGGGCGCCGCAGCCCUCUUCCUGCAGCAGCCUCUGGUCCUCUCACCAAGCAGGCCGGAGCCUCCUUCAGCUUCUGCGUUGGGGGUCAGGGAGGGGCCUCUCCUGCUGCCGCCACGCAUCCUGGGGACACAAAGGUGGCAUCAGCCUGGGACAGUGUCUUCAAGACUCCACACCUCAAGGCUCCCUCUGUGUGUCCGCCAUGAAGCCGGGACUUCGUUAGAGGACCAGGCGGGUCCUGGAGCCGGCAAGGUCCUCACAGUGCCCUGUCCCGCCGCAGUCUCCCAGCCCCCGCCACGGGGGCCCCGAGCUCGCCGCCGUGCCCCGGGCCCCUCCAUCUCCACGCUCCGAGCCGCGCGCCCCCGAAAGGUCCACGCGGACUGGAGGCGCCAGACCCAGCCAGAAACAUCGGGAGCCAGCGCCGCCGGACUGUGCUGGGCUCGGGCUGAGGAAGCUGAGGGGACUGUGCUGGGCUCGGGCUGAGGAAGCUGAGGGGACUGUGCUGGGCUCGGGCUGAGGAAGCUGAGGGGACUGUGCUGGGCUCGGGCUGAGGAAGCUGAGGGGACUGUGCUGGGCUCGGGCUGAGGAAGCUGAGGGGACUGUGCUGGGCUCGGGCUGAGGAAGCUGAGGGGACUGUGCUGGGCUCGGGCUGAGGAAGCUGAGGGGACUGUGCUGGGCUCGGGCUGAGGAAGCUGAGGGGACUGUGCUGGGCUCGGGCUGAGGAAGCUGAGGGGACUGUGCUGGGCUCGGGCUGAGGAAGCUGAGGGGACUGUGCUGGGCUCGGGCUGAGGAAGC